rnacentral:rRNA from 1 species
CCUACGGGAGGCUGCAGUGGGGAAUAUUGGACAAUGGGGGGAACCCUGAUCCAGCCAUGCCGCGUGUGUGAAGAAGGCCCUCGGGUUGUAAAGCACUUUCAGUGAGGAAGAACGCCUGGUGGUUAAUACCCAUCAGGAAAGACAUCACUCACAGAAGAAGCACCGGCUAACUCCGUGCCAGCAGCCGCGGUAAUACGGAGGGUGCGAGCGUUAAUCGGAAUUACUGGGCGUAAAGCGCGCGUAGGUGGCUUGAUAAGCCGGUUGUGAAAGCCCCGGGCUCAACCUGGGAACGGCAUCCGGAACUGUCAAGCUAGAGUGCAGGAGAGGAAGGUAGAAUUCCCGGUGUAGCAGUGAAAUGCGUAGAGAUCGGGAGGAAUACCAGUGGCGAAGGCGGCCUUCUGGACUGACACUGACACUGAGGUGCGAAAGCGUGGGUAGCAAACAGGAUUAGAUACCCUAGUAGUC